AUUGAACGCUGGCGGCAUGCUUUACACAUGCAAGUCGAACGGUAACAGGCCUUCGGGUGCUGACGAGUGGCGAACGGGUGAGUAAUGCAUCGGAACGUGCCCAGAGGUGGGGGAUAACGCAGCGAAAGCUGUGCUAAUACCGCAUGUGAUCUGAGGAUGAAAGCGGGGGACCAGGCAGCAAUGUUUGGCCUCGCGCCUUUGGAGCGGCCGAUGUCAGAUUAGGUAGUUGGUGGGGUAAAGGCCUACCAAGCCGACGAUCUGUAGCUGGUCUGAGAGGACGACCGGCCACACUGGGACUGAGACACGGCCCAGACUCCUACGGGAGGCAGCAGUGGGGAAUUUUGGACAAUGGGCGCAAGCCUGAUCCAGCAAUGCCGCGUGCGGGAAGAAGGCCUUCGGGUUGUAAACCGCUUUUGUACGGAACGAAAAGGCUCUGGCUAAUACCUGGGGCUGAUGACGGUACCGGAAGAAUAAGCACCGGCUAACUACGUG
rnacentral:rRNA from 1 species